rnacentral:rRNA from 1 species
UAACGCGCGAUCGCCUUGAGUUUGAUCAUGGCUCAGGAUGAACGCUAGCGGCAGGCUUAAUACAUGCAAGUCGAGGGGCAGCAGGGGUGUAGCAAUACACUCGCUGGCGACCGGCAAACGGGUGCGGAACACGUACGCAACCUACCCAAAACUGGGGAAUAGCCCGGGGAAACCCGGAUUAAUACCUCGUAACAUUAUGAAGUGGCAUCACUUUAUAAUUAUAGCUCCGGCGGUUUUGGAUGGGCGUGCGCCUGAUUAGGUAGUUGGCGGGGUAACGGUCCACCAAGCCUUCGAUCAGUAACUGGUGUGAGAGCACGACCAGUCACACGGGCACUGAGACACGGGCCCGACUCCUACGGGAGGCAGCAGUAAGGAAUAUUGGUCAAUGGACGCAAGUCUGAACCAGCCAUGCCGCGUGAAGGAUGAAGGUCCUCUGGAUUGUAAACUUCUUUUAUAUGGGACGAAACCUCUUAUUCUUAAGAGACUGACGGUACCAUAGGAAUAAGCACCGGCUAACUCCGUGCCAGCAGCCGCGGUAAUACGGAGGGUGCAAGCGUUAUCCGGAUUCACUGGGUUUAAAGGGUGCGUAGGAGGACAGGUAAGUCAGUGGUGAAAUCUCCGAGCUUAACUCGGAAACUGCCGUUGAUACUAUCUGUCUUGAAUACCGUGGAGAUGAGCGGAAUAUGUCAUGUAGCGGUGAAAUGCUUAGAUAUGACAUAGAACACCAAUUGCGAANGCAGCUCGUUACAC